CCUACGGGAGGCAGCAGUGGGGAAUCUUGCGCAAUGGGGGAAACCCUGACGCAGCGACGCCGCGUGGAGGAUGAAGGUCUUCGGGUUGUAAACUCCUUUUCUUGGGGAAAAUGAUGAUGGUACUCAAGGAAUAAGCCACGGCUAACUCUGUGCCAGCAGCCGCGGUAAGACAGAGGUGGCGAGCGUUGUUCGGAAUUGCUGGGCUUAAAGGGCGAGUAGGCGGUAGGGCAAGUCUGAGGUGGAAUCCUAUGGCUUAACCAUAGAACUGCCUUAGAAACUGCUUUACUUGAGUCAGUGAGGGGAGGGCGGAAUUCCUGGUGUAGCGGUGAAAUGCGUAGAUAUCUGGAGGAAGGCCGGUGGCGAAGGCGGCCAUCUGGCGCUGAACUGACGCUGAGGCGCGAAAGCGUGGGGAGCAAACAGGAUUAGAUACCCUGGUAGUCCUGGCCGUAAACGUUGGGCACUAGGUGUAGGAGGUAUCGACCCCUUCUGUGCCGCAGCUAACGCAUUAAGUGCCCCGCCUGGGGAGUACGACCGCAAGGUUGAAACUUAAAGGAAUUGACGG
rnacentral:rRNA from 1 species